rnacentral:rRNA from 1 species
CCCUUAGAUGUUCUGGGCCGCACGCGCGCUACACUGAUGCAUUCAACAAGUUCUACCUUGGCCGAGAGGCCUGGGAAAUCUUUCAAAUAUGUAUCGUGAUCGGGAUAGAUUAUUGCAAUUAUUAAUCUUGAACGAGGAAUUCCUAGUAAAUGCAGAUCAUCAUUCUGCGUUGAUUACGUCCCUGCCCUUUGUACACACCGCCCGUCGCACCUACCGAUUGAAUGAUCCGGUGAAGCCUCGGGAUUGUGCCCAGAGAACUUUAUUGUGAUUUGGGUGUGAGAACUUGUCUAAACCUUAUCAUUUAGAGGAAGGUGAAGUCGUAACA